GGAAACGACGCCCCUUUCGCUCGGGGGCGGGGUCAGCGCAGCCCCGCCCCCUCCGCCGGAGCAAUUGCCAUGUGGGGAUAAAGGGCACACACUGGGGGAGCACAGAACACCGUGGAAGCACCCGGAGCGGCUCCUGACCCAGCCCUGGAGGAAGUGCUCCAGGGAGCGGGCCCAGACUGUGGUUAGAACACAGAACGAGGUGGUGGCUAUGGUAACAAGUUGGAGAAGGGACAGACGCUAAGCCGCCAAGUUCUUUACAAGACGUAUUAAGGAGUUCAGGCUAAAACCCAAGGGCAUUGGAUUUUAAUGCAAGGGAAACAGAUGAAGAGCUUUACACAGUUCACCAAGAUGAUGCCAGUACAGCUAGUGAGACGCAGCACACCACCCGUUGCCUCUGGAAGAGACGCCAGACUGCAAAGGGGACUGAGGACAGAAGACAAUGGAAUUUGGAAUAAGACAAAGAGAGCAGGGAUGGUUAGUGUGACCCAACAUUCUAACAUGCCUGUUACAUCAAACAUCAAAUAUGAUAAUUUGGGGACGUAUUGGGGGGGGGGGGUGAGACAAACAGGGAAAAUUCGUUUGGGUACAAUGUGAUGGAGUUUGCGAACCAGUACUUCACCCCCAAAUUAAUGACAGCUUGUAUAGAACAAAAUGCUAUUUUAAAACACAUGGUUUGUACAGGUAUUUGUUUUCUCUUGUAAUUUUUGUAAAAAAGUAUCAAAACCUUCAUGUCUUUAAAUAUAUAUACAUAUACAGGUGGC